AGUUUUGCCUACUAGAACAGCGCGAUACGCUGUUAGUCUCCCUGGGAGGCGACACGUUCAACAUGCGGAAAGGCCUAUAUGAUAGGAAAUCCGCAGCCCGUUGCCCUUACCCGGCGAUCGGUUCAGAGACUCGAUGAGCGUGGGUUAGGCUUACCCAUAGCCUAGCUUGAGAUAGAGCCCGUCCCUGCUGGCAACUGCAGGGAUUCGACGGAACCUGCGGAAGGAUCAUUAAAGAAUAUCAGGCCUUACAGCCCUAUUCUCACCCAAUGUAUUUGAAACUUUGUUGCUUUGGCAGGCCCCUGGCUCCGGCUGGACAGCGCCUGCCAGAGGAUCUAAACCCUUGAAUCUCUGCUGUCUGAGUUACUAUACAAUAGUUAAAACUUUCAACAACGGAUCUCUUGGUUCUGGCAUCGAUGAAGAACGCAGCGAAAUGCGAUAAGUAAUGUGAAUUGCAGAAUUCAGUGAAUCAUCGAAUCUUUGAACGCACAUUGCGCCCUCUGGUAUUCCGGGGGGCAUGCCUGUUCGAGCGUCAUUACAACCCUCACGCUUUGCGUGGUGUUGGGCCUGCCCCCUAAAGGGCUUGCCUCAAAAUCAGUGGCGGCCGCUGUUCGACCCCUAAGCGUAGUAACUAUUCGUCGCUUCUGGGUGAGAGCAAGCCUGCUAGGAACCCCCACCUUCAAAGGUGACCUCGCUGAACUUAAGCAUAUCAAUAAGCGGAGGAAAGA
rnacentral:rRNA from 1 species